rnacentral:rRNA from 1 species
AUUGAACGCUGGCGGCAGGCCUAACACAUGCAAGUCGAACGAGUGGCGGACGGGUGAGUAAUGUCUGGGAAACUGCCUGAUGGAGGGGGAUAACUACUGGAAACGGUAGCUAAUAACGCAUACCAUCGGAUGUGCCCAGAUGGGAUUAGCUAGUAGGUGGGGUAAAGGCUAACCUAGGCGACGAUGCCUAGCUGGUCUGAGAGGAUGACCAGCCACACUGGAACUGAGACACGGGCCAUACUCCUACGGGAGGCAGCAGUGGGGAAUAUUGCGCAAUGGGCGCAAGCCUGAUGCAGCCAUGCCGCGUGUAUGAAGAAGGCGUUCGGAUUGUAAAGUACUUUCAGUGGAGUGGCGUUACCCGCAGAAGAAGCACCGGCUAACUCCGUGCCAGCCGCCGCGGUAAUAC